CCACAACCCCUAAACCAGAGUUCUCUUCUCUUUCUUAAGAAUCAAUGUCAUCCAUAAUAAUAACAAUAAUAAAAUUCCAUUAACAAAGCAAUAUAUAUACCCCUCUCCCUUCCAUCAUUUUUUUACACCCCAAAUCACUUACUAAUUAUAUAUUUCAGCAACUCAAUCUGAAAAAAGACAACCCUCAAAAAUCUUCUAGUAUUGCUCCAAGUAAAGAAAAACUCGGGGGAUCAUUUCUCUCUCUUUUCCCAUCAAUCUCAUCAGAUCAUCCACACUUUCCCUCAUAUCUAACAACCACAAAUCAUUAAAACUGCUAUUUCAACUCCAAAAUCUUCUUUUGUUUAGCUGCCUAACUCUCCUCACAAAUGGAAAUUGUGUCUAAUAUAAAUCAAUAGUCGGCAAGGUCUUCCACUCUCCCUUCCUUGUUAAAGCAAAGCACUUCUGAUUUUUUUUUUUACUUUGGGUUUUCUUCUUGACGGUGUUGUUUCAUAUCAACAGUUCUAUCUGCCAGAGAAAAGAGUAGAGACUAAAUUAUAUGUGUAAAACUAAAAUUUUUUGGUUCCUUGAUUAAUUUUUUUACAGUUUCUUCGACUUUGAUCUCUCCUUUUCUUGUUAGGUCUAUGUUACACU
rnacentral:lncRNA from 1 species